GGGCUCGUGGUCUAGGGGUUUAUGACGUCGCCCUCACACGGCGAAGGUCGGGAGUUCGAAUCUCCCCGAGCCCA
rnacentral:tRNA from 1 species